GCACCCGUAGCUCAAUUUGGCAGAGCAGGCGACUCUUAAUCGUCGGGUUGAAGGUUCGAGUCCUUCCGGGUGUACCU
rnacentral:tRNA from 1 species